GUGGGGAAUAUUGCACAAUGGAGGAAACUCUGAUGCAGCGACGCCGCGUGAGUGAAGAAGGUCUUCGGAUCGUAAAACUCUGUCCUUGGUGAAGAAGAAAAUGACGGUAGCCAAGGAGGAAGCCCCGGCUAACUACGUGCCAGCAGCCGCGGUAAUACGUAGGGGGCGAGCGUUGUCCGGAUUUACUGGGCGUAAAGGGUGAGUAGGCGGUUAUGUAUGUCAGGUGUAAAAGGCGUAGGCUUAACUUACGUUAGCACUUGAAACUGCAUAACUUGAGUGCAGGAGAGGUAAGUGGAAUUCCUAGUGUAGCGGUGAAAUGCGUAGAUAUUAGGAGGAACACCAGUGGCGAAGGCGACUUACUGGACUGUAACUGACGCUGAGUCACGAAAGCGUGGGUAGCAAACAGGAUUAGAAACCCUAGUAGUCC
rnacentral:rRNA from 1 species